CAGUAGCCGCGGGAAUACGUAGGUGGCAAGCGUUGUCCGGAAUUAUUGGGCGUAAAGGGCUCGCAGGCGGUCUCUUAAGUCUGAUGUGAAAGCCCACGGCUCAACCGGGGAGGGUCAUUGGAAACUGGGAAACUUGAGUGCAGAAGAGGAGAGUGGAAUUCCACGUGUAGCGGUGAAAUGCGUAGAGAUGUGGAGGAACACCAGUGGCGAAGGCGACUCUCUGGUCUGUAACUGACGCUGAGGAGCGAAAGCGUGGGGAGCGAACAGGAUUAGAUACCCCCGUAGUCCCUGUCUCUUAUAC
rnacentral:rRNA from 1 species